rnacentral:rRNA from 1 species
UACGAAGGGGGCUAGCGUUGUUCGGAAUUACUGGGCGUAAAGCGCAUGUAGGCGGCGUUUCAAGUCGGGGGUGAAAUCCCAGGGCUCAACCCUGGAACUGCCUUCGAUACUGUAAUGCUAGAGUAUGGAAGAGGUAAGUGGAACUGCAAGUGUAGAGGUGAAAUUCGUAGAUAUUUGCAAGAACACCAGUGGCGAAGGCGGCUUACUGGUCCAUUACUGACGCUGAGAUGCGAAAGCGUGGGGAGCAAACAGG